rnacentral:lncRNA from 1 species
UGCUUGAGUAGUAAUAAUAUUUUUACAAAUACUAAUAAAGGUUUCAGCUUAAAUAUAACAUAAAAAAACGUUCAUUACAUCUCAUUGUUUUGUCAAUCUGUUGAUUUUGAAAUAUUUUAUAUAAAUGUAUCAAAAUCUGGAUAUAAAACAUCAUAUCUGUUGUCAUAAUGAAAUUGUGUACUACUGCAAGAUUGCAAAUAUUGUAUUAUAAUGUUGUCGAGACUUUUUAUCGUUUGUAAAACAUUGUAAUACUAGUAUUGUUUGAUCCAGCAAAGGUCGCAACUGUACUGAAUUAUUCGUUAUUAGAAGACAGUAAAUGUUGACAGACUUCAUUGACUGUUGCGUCCUGCUAAAAUAUAUUACUUGAAUCUUCUAUAGGUUAUAUCGAUGUUGUACAUGAAUAAAUGUCAUCAUGUUUUCUAUUUUGGUUUUAUCUAUUAUAUGUUAUGAAAUCGGGUAUAUGUACUCAUUACAUAGAUAUCGGGAUUAAAAAAAAAGUGUACGCCAGACCCGGGUUUCGUCUUUGUUAGCCUCAUCAGUGACGCUUUAAUAAAAGAAGUUAAAACAAGCCAAAUAUAUAUUCGUAUUGUAAAUACAGAUAAGGUCAUAUGUUCUGGUAUACCGAUAUCGUCAUUGCACUAUUACACGUGAUAUUUAUAUAUUAAUCUGUUUAUAUUUAUCUAUAAUUGAUAAAGGGGUCAUAUGCCUAUGUACAAUCCCCGUAAAUUAUGUCGAUGGUUAACUAGAACGUACAAAUAUUGAUAUCUUUUUUCGAAUUUUGUGCGUUGUUUAUUUUUUUACUGUCAGACUGUUGUUAUUUUGAUAAUACGUUUAAAUAUGUCAUUUAUCAAAUUUAAGAGCAUGUGUCAAUUCUAAGGUAUGAAUUCGCUCAUAUGAU